GACGAACGCUGGCGGCGUGCCUAAUACAUGCAAGUAGAACGCUGAAGGAGGAGCUUGCUUCUCUGGAUGAGUUGCGAACGGGUGAGUAACGCGUAGGUAACCUGCCUGGUAGCGGGGGAUAACUAUUGGAAACGAUAGCUAAUACCGCAUAAAAUUGAUUAUUGCAUGAUAGUCAAUUAAAAGGUGCAAUUGCAUCACUACCAGAUGGACCUGCGUUGUAUUAGCUAGUUGGUGGGGUAACGGCUCACCAAGGCAACGAUACAUAGCCGACCUGAGAGGGUGAUCGGCCACACUGGGACUGAGACACGGCCCAGACUCCUACGGGAGGCAGCAGUAGGGAAUCUUCGGCAAUGGACGGAAGUCUGACCGAGCAACGCCGCGUGAGUGAAGAAGGUUUUCGGAUCGUAAGCUCUGUUGUAAGAGAAGAACCGAGUGUGAGAGUGGAAAGUUGCACACUGUGAAACGGUUAUCUUUCACGAA
rnacentral:rRNA from 1 species